CCAAUGUUGACAACCAGGUAUAUCUGGCUUUUGUCAGCAUAUGCUUGGCUCUGUCUUUGUGGCGUAUGGGAGCUGAAUGUCUCACGAGGACUUGAUGCAUAUUCCCGUUCCACAGCAUUGGAUAUCAACCCAGGCCUGGACUGCUCUGUACAGGACUGGACCCCAUAUAUUCCAUCACUUUCUCAUAGCUACUAUGUGGCAAUUACUGAGGAAGAAGACCAUAUGGGGAACAAAC